GAUGAACGCUGGCGGCGUGCCUAAUACAUGCCAGUAGAACGCUGAAGGAGGAGCUUGCUCUUCUGGAUGAGUUGCGAACGGGUGAGUAACGCGUAGGUAACCUGCCUGGUAGCGGGGGAUAACUAUUGGAAACGAUAGCUAAUACCGCAUGACAACAGUUAUUGCAUGAUAACUGUUUAAAAGGUGCAACUGCUCCACUACCAGAUGGACCUGCGUUGUAUUAGCUAGUUGGUGAGGUAACGGCUCACCAAGGCGACGAUACAUAGCCGACCUGAGAGGGUGAUCGGCCAAAAUGGGAAUGAGACACGGCCCAGACUCCUACGGGAGGCAGCAGUAGGGAAUCUGCGGCAAUGGACGGAAGUCUGACCGAGCAACGCCGCGUGAGUGAAGAAGGUUUUCGGAUCGUAAAGCUCUGUUGUAAGAGAAGAACGAGUGUGAGAGUGGAAAGUUCACACUGUGACGGUAUCUUACCAGAAAGGGACGGCUAACUACGUG
rnacentral:rRNA from 1 species